UAAAAAUUAGUUAAUGUGUAUAAUAUAAGUUUGUCAAGCUUAAGUAAUUUAAAUAAAUAUUUUUAU
rnacentral:tRNA from 1 species